AUUGAACGCUGGCGGCAUGCCUUACACAUGCAAGUCGAACGGUAACAGGGAGCUUGCUCCGCUGACGAGUGGCGAACGGGUGAGUAAUGUAUCGGAACGUACCAUUCAGUGGGGGAUAACGUAGCGAAAGUUACGCUAAUACCGCAUAUUCUGUGAGCAGGAAAGCAGGGGAUCGCAAGACCUUGCGCUGAUUGAGCGGCCGAUAUCAGAUUAGCUAGUUGGUGAGGUAAAGGCUCACCAAGGCGACGAUCUGUAGCGGGUCUGAGAGGAUGAUCCGCCACACUGGAACUGAGACACGGUCCAGACUCCUACGGGAGGCAGCAGUGGGGAAUUUUGGACAAUGGGGGCAACCCUGAUCCAGCCAUGCCGCGUGAGUGAAGAAGGCCUUCGGUUGUAAGCUCUUUCGGUCCGGGAAAAGUACGACAUCAGUUAAUACCUGGUGUGGAUGAUGGUACCGGAAGUAAGAAGACACCGGCGUAACUACGUG
rnacentral:rRNA from 1 species